CCAUUUCACUGGCCAAAGCAACCAUAGAAAGAGAGAGCAAAAUACAUGUAUCACAACUGGUAAAAAAAAAAAAUUUGAAGGGCCUAUAGGAAACUGCAUUUUGAUAUUUCUAUGACCAUAGUUGCUGUUUUCUCCAGCAAGAAGCAUGAAAAUGCUCUGAAAACUUUCUGAUGCACAACACCUAUUUCAGCUUUGUUCAUCAUCAUCACUGUUUGUUUUUUGUUUAGUCGAGAAUUUGCCUUCUGUAAAUCCUCUUCAUAUUGAUUGAGGAAGAUGAUUAAGAGUAGAACGAAUAGGUCUUAGCUUGAAGUAUUAUUUGCCUCAAUCCUCCAAUGGGAGAUAAAAUCAUUAACAGAACACCUAAUACAAUGCAGAUCCAGUUAGUCCACCAAGAUAAGCCAAACUUUCUUGGUUUGUAGAUGGCCAGCCACAUUAUGCAGGGGAGGAAGUAUGUAGUUGGGGCAAAAGCAAAUCCACCAAAAAAGGAAAGGAGACCACCAAAGAAAGGGAAGGUGAUGCCAACAAACAUUGUAAGUCCCACAUAAAGGUUGCGUACAAAAAAGCGAAGAAUAAAGCUGGGCUUGAAAUGCAAUUUCUUUACCAAUAGAGUUUCUACCAUGUCAAACACUGGCAUUGCAUAAAUCUGGUAGCUUCCAAUGACAUGAAUCACAACAAACAUGUUAGCCAUUGCAAUGAGCCAUGUAGGCUUAUUCAACGAGAGGAGGAUAUUGUCUUCGACUGCAUUACCAUACAUCCAAUAGCCAAUUAGAGCAACAGGGAAGUAGCACAAGGCGACAACUAUGUAGGCAACGACCACUCCUCUCCACAUAGGCACUUUGGAUGGCUUCUCAGGCGUGGAUGGGAUUGUUGCUUGAAUCUCCAAUACCACAUUGUGUCCAGCAUAUGCAAAAGCCACAUCUCCCAAUGCGCUGAAGAAGUUGAAGACUGUCCCUGCAGUGCUCUUAGCAGCAUAACCAUAUUGCACAUCAGGCUGAACACCCUUAUGGACAGAAGCUGUCCAAGCAAUGGUUGAGUAACUCAAGGACAUGACUGCAGCUGCCAGAGAGACACCAGAGAUGGAGUUGAAGUUGGGAAGGUGCGAGAGUACAAAGUGAACCGAGGCAAAGAUCAUUAUGAAGUAGGUUUGUUUGAUCGAUUUGCAGUUUUUGCAUACAAGAUCAUGGAACUUCUUCAGUGAUUUGCCUCCAGUAACCAUGUAGACGAUACACACACCAACUUCAACAAUUAGUUGCUGAGGAACAACAAUGUAAAGACCAAGCUUUUCACCAAAGGCAUAUUGACCAAGUUCAUGAUAUCUAUCAAAUCUUUUUCCAGGCACCAUUUCAUGCAUUUCCACCAUUUGCCAUAAAGUGUAUAGCGUAAUCACCCAUGAUAGGACGAGGAUAACAACACCAGGACCCCAUCCAAGCUCUGACAUGGCAUAAGGAAGACUGAGGACACCAGCUCCAACCAUGGCAGUGACAUUGUGAAAAGCUGAAUACCACCAUUUUGCAUUCCUUGAAGAAGUGAUUGGAAGCCAUUCAUCUAUUGCCUUCUGUUUUGCUAGUUG
rnacentral:misc_RNA from 1 species